rnacentral:rRNA from 1 species
GAUGAACGCUGACAGAAUGCUUAACACAUGCCAGUCCACUUGAAUUUGGGUUUUUUAACUUAGAUUUGGGUGGCGGACGGGUGAGUAACGCGUAAAGAACUUGCCUCACAGCUAGGGACAACAUUUGGAAACGAAUGCUAAUACCUGAUAUUAUGAUUAUAAGGCAUCUUAGAAUUAUGAAAGCUAUAUGCGCUGUGAGAGAGCUUUGCGUCCCAUUAGCUAGUUGGAGAGGUAACGGCUCACCAAGGCGAUGAUGGGUAGCCGGCCUGAGAGGGUGAACGGCCACAAGGGGACUGAGACACGGCCCUUACUCCUACGGGAGGCAGCAGUGGGGAAUAUUGGACAAUGGACCAAGAGUCUGAUCCAGCAAUUCUGUGUGCACGAUGACGUUUUUCGGAAUGUAAAGUGCUUUCAGUUGGGAAGAAAAAAAUGACGGUACCAACAGAAGAAGUGACGGCUAAAUACGUG